rnacentral:tRNA from 1 species
GGGUUGGUAGCUCAAUGGUCGAGCAGUGGCCUUUUAAGCCAUUGGUUCUGGGUUCGAAUCCCAGUCGACCCACCA